rnacentral:rRNA from 1 species
AUGCGGCAGACAACGACGAGUCGAGGAGGUGGUGGAGGAAGAAGGUCAUCGGUGCGGCGAUGGCCGUGGUGGACCAGAGCUCCAGGGCCAGCUCCAGCAGCUGUUCCACCUCCAAGACGCCGGCGUCGACCAGAUCUUCAUCGACGCGGUCCCCAUCUUCGUCUACCGCGCAAUCCUCGCGCCAGCGCCGGCAACCGCAAGGGCCGCAGUGACCCCUUCGACUGUGUCGUGUGCCUGUGCGAGACCGCCAUGGACGACGCGCUCCGGCUGCUACCCACCAGCGGCCACACCUUCCACGUGCCCUGCAUCGACACUUGGCCGAUGGCUGCGCCGACACGGCCACGGGAGCGCCCGGUACAAGGGAUGGCAAUGAGAAUGAGGUGUCCCCGAAGGCAGAUUAGGUCGUCAAGGUGA